CGUCGUCGUUCCGCCGAUGGCCGUUUCGCUCCCGGGUUUUCCGCUCGAUUCCUGUUCCACUCCCCCGAUGCGCCGCCAAUUCCCGUUCCCGAUUCCUGCCGCAAUCCUCAUCCACCCCUCCCUCUCUCCCCUCCUCCCACUCCCUCAUCUUCUCGCGCCGCAGCGGCAGCAGCAGCCGUAACGCGCGGCAGCCCCCAUCUUGCGUGACCUCACUUCCCCGAUCUCAUCCCACUGUGGCAUCUCCCGCUUCACCUUGGGCGCGUCCCCCGUCGCCGCCCCUCCACCUCACUACCGCCCCCGCCCAUCUUCACCCUCGACGACCGCGUCUCCGCAGCCGACUUCUCCCCUGACCCCACCACCUCCGACCUCCUCCCCGUCGCGCCCUCCCCUCCCCCCGCACCACCGCCAGCCGCUCGCUGUCAUGAGAUCCAUCCCCAUCCCCAUCCGCGCGCAACCAGCCACACCAGGGCGCUCAUCCCUCCACUUCCAGCUCGCCAAUGCCGGUGUGGCAGCGCUUGUCGCCGACCCGGCCCUGGCAUUCAUAGUCUGCCAUCGCUCUCUCUCUCUCUCUCUGGUUCGUGUUCUCGCAAGAUUUUGGGGUGUUGACGUCGUGUGCGUGUGUGACCGCAGGGAGGAGGCCCAUACGGGAAGCAGGUGACGUGCGGGUAGGACCUCACCGGCAAGGACUUCAGCGGCCAGACGCUCAUCAAGCAGGACUUCAAGACGGUACUGCGAUUGCAAAUCUGACCUUGCCUUGUGCUAUUUUCUCACGCUUUGAUAAGAUCGCAUGCUUCUCCUUGUGAGGAAACGCAUGAAAGUUUCGAACUUUCUAUGCACAGAAAAGCAUGUGAUUUGUGGUUAGAGUCUUGUGUAUGAUUGCUUGGCGAUUCUUGACCUUCUCUUGCUGCAGUCUAUACUGAGGUAGGCCAACUUCAAAGGUGCGAACCUGCUCGGCGCGAGCUUCUUGGAUGCAGACCUCACAAGUUGUGCAUUUGUUUGUCAUCCUCGAAAAAGACCGCAACCAGCACUUUCAGAGAUUCUUCCUGAUUGGAAAGCUUGUGAUUUUGGGUUUUGGUUGUGUGACUUACUCGGUAUGUUUGCUGAUGAAUUCAGGUGCUGAUCUUAGAGGCGCGACUUCUCGCUGGCAAAUUUGUCAUAGGGUUGCUAAGUUUGCAUUGUUAUAGGUUAUUGUGAGGGAGGAGACAUGGCUGAGACUAUCAAAAGAGCCAAAUGGUAACUAUUUUUCUGAGGAGAAAAUUUGCAAGUGGCUUGUGCAACUUCUCAUGGCUCUUGAUUAUUUGCAUGCAAAUCACAUUCUUCAUCGAGAUGUGAGGGUGGUAGGAACAUCAAGUUAUAUGUGCCAAGAACUUUUUGCUGAUAUACCAUAUGGUACCAAGUCCGAUAUUUGGUCUCUAGGAUGUUGCAUAUAUGAAAUGACUGCUCUCAGGCCCACAUUUAAAGCUUUUGUAAGUCCCUGACUUACUUUUUGGGGAUGUUGUAGCAAGAACCAAGAAAGAGGUAACUUUCUUAUUGUUAUGGAGAUUGUGAUCUUACUGCCCUGUGGAUGACCUGCAAUAAAUCUUUAUUUCC